GACGAACGCUGGCGGCGUGCUUAACACAUGCAAGUCGAACGGUGACGAGGAGCUUGCUCCUCCGAUCAGUGGCGAACGGGUGAGUAACACGUGAGUAACCUGCCCCAGACUCUGGAAUAACAGUUGGAAACAGCUGCUAAUACCGGAUACGAGACGGAGAGGCAUCUCUACCGUCUGGAAAGUUCUUCGGUCUGGGAUGGACUCGCGGCCUAUCAGCUUGUUGGUGAGGUAAUGGCUCACCAAGGCGACGACGGGUAGCCGGCUUGAGAGGGCGACCGGCCACACUGGGACUGAGACACGGCCCAGACUCCUACGGAGGCAGCAGUGGGGAAUAUUGCACAAUGGGCGAAAGCCUGAUGCAGCAACGCCGCGUGAGGGAUGACGGCC
rnacentral:rRNA from 1 species